CCUAGUGCCUCCAGAAAGAACGCAGCCCUACUGACACCUUGGUUUUGGCCUGGUGAGACCAACUUUGGACUUUUCACUUCCAAAACUGUUGUCUUUCACCAUGUGAAUGGAGAAGUUCCUGGUUCUUCAUAUGCCAAAUGAUUUUGGAUUAAAUCCGACACAUCUUAAAUAUUAUGUUGUGAGAUUCUGGGUCUUGUUUAAUCCUGUGGUGAAUAUGAAUAGUUUUUUUUAGCAGUCUGAUUAGUCAGACUGAAAGUUUAAAACUGCAGUGGUUCCAAUGUCAAGUCAGUUUUAAAAGCCUUGCAAUGUUAUUUGGAUCUACUCCAUCUGCACAUCAGCUGGUGGUCAGUUUGGGAUCACCAAACUGGGUGGAGAUCUGUCUUUUAGUUCAACUCUCUCUUUUAUCUUAUUACAUUUUAUUUUAUUGUGGUAAGAACUUUUAACAUGUAAUAUACCUUCUUGACAGAGUUUUAAGUAUACAUUAUUGUUGAUUAUAGUUAAAAGGUUGUACAGAAGAUCUCUAGAGCUUAUUCAUCUUGAUUAAUUGAAACUUAAUGCCCCUUGAUUAGUAACUCCCCAUUUUCCUCCCCCCAACCACUGGCAACCACCAUUCCACUCUCUGAUUCUAUGAAUUUGAUCAUUUUGGAUACCUCAUCUAAAUGGAAUCAUGUAAUAUUUGUCUUUCUGUGACUGGCUUAUCUGACUUAGGUUCAUCUAUGUCGUUAAGAUUCAUUCAUGUUAUCACACACUGCAGAAUUUUCUUUUUAAAAUUUGUAUAAUAUUUCAUUUUCUUUAUGUAUCUGUCAAUGGACAUUUAGAUUGCUUUUACAUCUUGGAUAUUAUGAAUAAUGUUGCAAUAAACAUGGAAGUGCUGAUAAUUCUUUGAGAUUCUGAUUGUGGUUCUUUUGAAUAAAUACCCAGAAA
rnacentral:lncRNA from 1 species